AUCCUUCUGUAGUUCAUAAGUGUGAUGAUCGGGUGUUCACGCUGCCGUGGGACAUGUGCCUACCUCAAACCUUGUUACAACCUCAGCAAUUACCCAUCUGAUG